AGAGACUGACAUAGCCAAAAGCGAUGAAAAGACCACCUUACCUACCACAUACAACAACCAGGAAAAUCAAAGAGUCUCAGAUGCAGUGGAUCUUUUAGAUCUGAUUCCUCAACCCAACUCUGAAAAGCCAUACAGUCAAGAAGCCAUAAAUGAUUCUGAAGACAAAAGGGUGGAAGAGCAACAGAUAAAUUAGACCAACUAUAAAGAUAUUUGGUGGUGUAAUAAAUAUGGAAAGACCCAUGAAUGCCUGUAUUUAGGGAAGAAUAGUUUGCAAGAUUGACUUCCAUCUUAGAUAAUGUUAUGCUAGACAAUAAUGUGACUGCACACACACAAAAAGAUUGAGUUCAAUCAUUUUGUAUUACCUGAAUCCCCUCAUAGGUUUGCUUUUUGUCCUAUUUUCUCAUAUAGUUUGGUGUCAAUUGCUGUUUUUUUAAACUACAUUAAAAUACAAUGGUCAGUCAUUGCAUCCUUGCCUGUGCAUGCUUCUAAGAGAGCCUGCUUCCCCCCACAGGCCAUACCUAAGGCAUGGACAUGAGUGGCCAUGUUUGCUCGGCUGUUCUUACCACCUUGGCUUCAACUGAUUGGACUAGAAUAAAUACACCUUACUCAAGGGGAACCAAUAGAUUUUCUCUCACAGUGUCAAAAACUUGCACUGAGAAAAAUGGCUGAGUAAGUUGGUGUCUGGAUCAUGGUAAAGGGAGUGACUUAGAGAGAGCUGCACAGUUCUGCUGUGAGGUCUUCAGAGCUAGUCAGGUUCACCAGCUUCAU